rnacentral:rRNA from 1 species
UAACAGGAAGAAGCUUGUUCUUUGCUGACGAGUGGCGGACGGGUGAGUAAUGUCUGGGAAACUGCCUGAUGGAGGGGGAUAACUACUGGAAACGGUAGCUAAUACCGCAUAACGUCGCAAGACCAAAGAGGGGGACCUUCGGGCCUCUUGCCAUCGGAUGUGCCCAGAUGGGAUUAGCUAGUAGGUGGGGUAACGGCUCACCUAGGCGACGAUCCCUAGCUGGUCUGAGAGGAUGACCAGCCACACUGGAACUGAGACACGGUCCAGACUCCUACGGGAGGCAGCAGUGGGGAAUAUUGCACAAUGGGCGCAAGCCUGAUGCAGCCAUGCCGCGUGUAUGAAGAAGGCCUUCGGGUUGUAAAGUACUUUCAGCGGGGAGGAAGGGAGUAAAGUUAAUACCUUUGCUCAUUGACGUUACCCGCAGAAGAAGCACCGGCUAACUCCGUGCCAGCAGCCGCGGUAAUACGGAGGGUGCAAGCGUUAAUCGGAAUUACUGGGCGUAAAGCGCACGCAGGCGGUUUGUUAAGUCAGAUGUGAAAUCCCCGGGCUCAACCUGGGAACUGCAUCUGAUACUGGCAAGCUUGAGUCUCGUAGAGGGGGGUAGAAUUCCAGGUGUAGCGGUGAAAUGCGUAGAGAUCUGG